rnacentral:rRNA from 1 species
GAUCCCAUCUCGAACUCGGACGUGAAACCGGACUGCGCCGAUGGUACUAGUGCUCAAGCACUGGGAGAGUAGGUCGCCGCCAGGC